AUGAGCUUCGCCCCACAGCCUAGCUCAUACCAAAACAAUUACACACAUGGGUGGCCUGAAAACCAGAAUAUGUCAUAUAGGAGCAAUAACCCUGAGAUCUCAUCGUUUGCCUCUAGUUAUCCAAUGCAGGGAUUUAGGUAUGAAGAGGAGAGCCACAACUAUGCUCCACAACAGAUUUAUUCAGCUCCUACUCAUAUACCUCAACACCAGGACAUGUUGCCAAUGGAGUUAAAUGGUCCUCCAUUUGGUCAACCAACAUCUUCAAUACAACUGCCCACACAAGAUGACUUUGAUGAUAUAGACAAGCUCACAUUGCUUGGUCUUGAGUUCACUUGA
rnacentral:rRNA from 1 species